GUUUUUAUAGUUGAAUGUACAACGGAGGUUUUUCGUACCUCAAGUCUUGGUUUAUAGUCCAAGUGAAAAUA